AUACGCCCGUCUAUGACGGGACGUAUUAUGGUAUACCCCGCGUCCGUCCGUCCGUCCGUCUGUUAAUGUCGUACGCUACGUCAAAUAUCCUUUGACAGAUUUUCUUCAAAUUUUAACACAAUCUUAAUAUUGAUAAACCCUGAUCCCCUUUCGUUUUUGACGGAAUUCUGAAUUGUCGUUCCAGAGUUAUGGGACUUUGUUCGUCAAAAUUUCGUGAUUUUAUUGAAUGUCCUACUGUAGCUAUAUAAAAAUGUUAAAGUUGUUAUAACUUUGGUAUGCUUGGACCUAGAGUCUUGAAACUUGACAUGAAGGUUGGCCAGAACUAGUAAGUAACCCCUGGACAUUUCAAGGUCAUUCAUUUGAAGGUCAAGGUCACUGUGACCUUGAAUGUAAAAAUGUUAAAGUUCUUAUUUCAUGUUAUAACUUUGGUAUGCUUGUACCUAGAGUCUUCAAACUUGAAAUAAAGAUUGGCCAGUACUAGAAGAUGACCACUGGUCAUUUCAAUGUCAUUCAUUUGAAGGUCAAGGUCACUGUGACCUUAAAUGUUAAAAUGUUAAAAUUGUUAUAACUUUGGUAUGCUUGGACAUAGAGUCUUCAAACUUGACAUGAAGGUUUGCAAGCACACUUAGAUGACCACUGGUCAUUUCAAGGUCAUUCAUUCUAAGGUCAAGGUCACUGUGACCUUAAAUGUUAUUGUUGUUCAUGUAUCCUACCGUAGCUCAAAUAUCCCCCGAUGGAUUUUUUAUACGCACGUCUAUGACGGGACGUAUUAUGGUAUACCCCGCGUCCGUCUGUCCGUCCGUCCGUCCGUCCGUCCGUCUGUUAAUGUCGUACGCUACGUCAAAUAUCCUUUGACAGAUUUUCUUCAAAUUUUAACACAAUCUUAAUAUUGAUAAACCCUGAUCCCCUUUCGUUUUUGACGGAAUUCUGAAUUGUCGUUCCAGAGUUAUGGGACUUUGUUCGUCAAAAUUUCGUGAUUUCAUUGAAUGUCCUACUGUA